UACAGAGGUGGCAAGCGUUGUUCGGAAUUACUGGGCGUAAAGGGCGCGUAGGCGGUUUUGUAAGUCAGACGUGAAAUCCCCAGGCUUAACUUGGGAACUGCGUCUGAUACUGCAAAACUUGAGUGCGGGAGAGGGAUGUGGAAUUCCAGGUGUAGCGGUGAAAUGCGUAGAUAUCUGGAGGAACACCGGUGGCGAAGGCGGCAUCCUGGACCGACACUGACGCUGAGGCGCGAAAGCUAGGGGAGCAAACGGG
rnacentral:rRNA from 2 species